AACGAACGCUGGCGGCAGGCUUAACACAUGCAAGUCGGACGCCCCGCAAGGGGAGUGGCAGAAGGGUGAGUAACGCGUGGGAACAUACCCUUUUCUACGGAAUAGCUCUGGGAAACUGGAAUUAAUACCGUAUACGCCCUACGGGGGAAAGAUUUAUCGGGGAAGGAUUGGCCCGCGUUGGAUUAGCUAGUUGGUGGGGUAAAGGCCUACCAAGGCGACGAUCCAUAGCUGGUCUGAGAGGAUGAUCAGCCACAUUGGGACUGAGACACGGCCCAAACUCCUACGGGAGGCAGCAGUGGGGAAUAUUGGACAAUGGGCGCAAGCCUGAUCCAGCCAUGCCGCGUGAGUGAUGAAGGCCUUAGGGUUGUAAAGCUCUUUCACCGAUGAAGAUAAUGACGGUAGUCGGAGAAGAAGCCCCGGCUAACUUCGUGCCAGCCGCCGCGGUAAGAC
rnacentral:rRNA from 1 species